UAGAGGAAGUAAAAGUCGUAACAAGGUUUCCGUAGGUGAACCUGCGGAAGGAUCAUUAAUGAAAUGGUCUUUGACCAAAUUCAAUCCCAUACCUUUGUGAACUGUUCUGGUUACUUUGGCGGGGUCGCAUUUUAUGCGCUCAUUUUAGGGACUCCCCGCCAAGGUCUUUUCAAACUUUAGUUUAAAAUGUUAGAAAGUCAUUUAUUAUAAAUCUAUACAACUUUUAGCAACGGAUCUCUUGGCUCUCGCAUCGAUGAAGAACGCAGCGAAAUGCGAUACGUAGUGUGAAUUGCAGAAUCUAGUGAACCAUCGAAUCUUUGAACGCAUAUUGCACCUAUUGGUAUUCCGAUAGGUAUGCCUAUUUGAGUGUUAUGAAAUUCUCAUCCAAAUCCUUUGGGUGGUAUUGAGCUUGCGUUGGCUAGCUUGAAAUAAAUAGGGUAAACACCUACCAGGUCUAUCGUCAUAUUAUUUAUUUGCGAUAUAUCUACUGGUAGUCUGUGACCCAUAAUAUUUUAUCAAUCUUAGCCUCAAAUUAGGUAGGAAUACCCGCUGAACUUAAGCAUAUCAAUAAGCGGAGGAAAAGAAAAUAACAAUGAUUCCCUUAGUAACGGCGAGUGAAGCGGGAAGAGCUCAAAUUUGAAAUCUGGCACCUUUGGUGUCCGAGUUGUAAUUUCUAGAAGUGUUUUCAGUGCUUAGCUAGGUAUAAAUCCUUUGGAACAGGGUAUCAUAGAGGGUGAGAAUCCCGUCUUUGACCUGGACUAAGUACUAUGUGAUACACUUUCGAAGAGUCGAGUUGUUUGGGAAUGCAGCUCUAAAUGGGUGGUAAAUUCCAUCUAAAGCUAAAUAUAGGCGAGAGACCGAUAGCGAACAAGUACCGUGAGGGAAAGAUGAAAAGAACUUUGAAAAGAGAGUGAAAAAGUACGUGAAAUUGCUAAAAGGGAAGCGAAAGAGACCAGUCUUACUAGCUAAUAAUCAGCCUUACUUAUGUUUGGUGCACUUAUUAGUUAGUAGGCCAACAUCAGUUUUCUUUAUUAGAUAAUGGUAACAGGAAUGUAGCUUCUUGUAAGUGUUAUAGCCUGAUACUUGAUGUAAUGAAGGGGACUGAGGACUGCAGCGCGCUGUAUGGCGGCCUUUGGCCUCCGCGCUAAGGAUGUUGGCAUAAUGGUCUUUUCCGACCCGUCUUGA
rnacentral:rRNA from 1 species